rnacentral:sRNA from 1 species
AACGGAUCACCCGAACCCAACCCGUUAAGCUAACGGGUCACCCGUUAACCCUUUUUUCUUUCUUUUUUUCUUUUAUUCUUUUUUACAUUCCAAUACAAGGAGCUGCGACUUGGAUUUCUUCUGGAACUAUUCCCGGAGGCUCUCGAGCUCUUCUCUGCAAUUUGAAGCGUCGCGAAUCCCUAAUUGCGUGGAAGCUGUUCGCUAGAGACUCGGUCUGGAGGAGGAGCCACAUCCGGCUGCCGUUGGAGGAGUCUUCGAGAAGGGUCUGGAUCCUCUGGAGCAUGAUGCAGAGCUCCUGGAAGCAGAGGAUGGCGGAGUGGGAGAAGACGGCGGUGGAGCUGCAGAUGAUGUCUUCGAAGAGGAUGGAGAUGAGGGUUGACCUGUGCGGCACAGGAGGAACUGGUCCAUGAUGUGGAUGAUAUGCAGGAAGAGACGAUUCAUGAAAUCUAUGAGAAAGCUACUCAAGAACCGUAUGAGACGUUCCAUGGUGAGAUGGUUGCUGCUAGUGCUUGUAUAUCUGCAGCAGAUAGUUUCCAGAAAGAAAUAACCAAUCAAGUCGAAAACAAUGAAGCUAGGGAAUCCACUGAAAAUUAGAUGACAGAUGAACAGAAAGCGCGAAUGGAAGCUAAUAGAUUGAAGGCACUUGAGAAAGCUGCAGCUAGGCGCUGCCAAUUGCAGGCGGCUUGAGGUUCCGUUACAUGGUGUUUUGUCACAGAUGAGGUUGACCUGUGGAGGGAGCGGAGAAUCCAGAGUGACCCAAAGCGGCUCGUGGGAGCAUUUCCAAUAUAAUUUAUAACGGGUGCUAACGGGUUGUAACGGGUCUAACGGGUUGACCCAAAGUGAUCCGUUAUUUAACGGGUUGUUAACAGGUUCACCCGUUAACGACCCGACCCGUUAAGCAUCCACCCAAAUACUAAUAUUAACGGGUCGGAUCGGGUCGGGUUAACGGGUCGGGUCCAAAAUGCCAGGUCUAUGGGUAUCCCAUUCUUUCUUUUAAUCCCAAGUCCUAUUGCCAAUAAUCUCUUUUAACCUUUGUUUUAUAAUUACAAGCAUACAGAAUUUCAAUUUCUUAACGUUACGAUGUGCAGAAGAAUAUUUGCGAUCACAAGCCAUAAUAUGGAGAAAGUUUCACGGUGUUAUCAAUUCAUUCAUGUUUUAA